ACUCCUGUUCACCAGACCUGGCAGUUCCAAUGCAGCAUGAAGCUCUGCAACCUUUCACCCCUAAGUCGGGCCUCUUUAGCAGCUAAGGAGGAGAUUUCAGCUGACUGCUUUUCCAGCUUCACAGUCCAACUCAAGAUGAUAAAAGAUGGUGCUGGAGUUCUCAGGUGUGCUGGGUGACAGGUGCGACUUAUUCUGCUGAUUACUUGGAGGAGUACUUAAACAGGAGGCUGCCAGCACUUCGACACCAGAGUGUUUUUCCUUCAGUGGUAACAAGCUCAGCCAACACUAAGUCUAUGCUUGGCCUUUGUUUCCAAGUAACUUUGUUUAUGCUCCUGCACAGGGUAAAAACCUAAACUUUGGAUUUACUUCACUGAACACUGACUUCGUGUCCGGACGUUUCUGGACGGUCAAGAUUAUCUACGCUCUAAGGACUUCGUUUCCUAACUACUGUUUCCAUCUGGACUCAGACCAAGCUGGCGGUUUUCCUGCUUCCUCCGUUUCCUGAACCAAGACAUAAGCGUACCCUGUCCACCCUCCAACGCAAGUAUCUGCACACUGAACUCCCUUCUGAAAUGUCCAAGCUCACUCAAACAUCAUCUAAGAAAUCAUCUGAACAAACUCAGCUUCAACAACCUGGAUUCCGAAUCCCUCUACCCCUGGCGACCUAUUGCUGAUUCAUCCGUUCACGUUUCCUGAUUGUUUGUGGCGCAAUAAAAACAUCAUUUUACUUA